rnacentral:rRNA from 1 species
GAUGAACGCUAGCGGGAGGCCUAACACAUGCAAGCCGAGCGGUAUUGUUUCUUCGGAAAUGAGAGAGCGGCGUACGGGUGCGUAACACGUGUGCAACCUGCCUUUAUCUGGGGGAUAGCCUUUCGAAAGGAAGAUUAAUACUCCAUAACAUAUUGAACGGCAUCGUUUAAUAUUGAAAGCUACGGCGGAUAGAGAUGGGCACGCGCAAGAUUAGCUAGUUGGGGAGGUAACGGCUCACCAAGGCGAUGAUCUUUAGGGGGCCUGAGGGGGUGAUCCCCCACACUGGUACUGAGACACGGACCAGACUCCUACGGGAGGCAGCAGUGAGGAAUAUUGGUCAAUGGGUGCAAGCCUGAACCAGCCAUCCCGCGUGAAGGACGACUGCCCUAUGGGUUGUAAACUUCUUUUGUAUAGGGAUAAACCUACCCUCGAGAGGGUAGCUGAAGGUACUAUACGAAUAAGCACCGGCUAACUCCGUGCCAGCCGCCGCCGUAAUAC